UUAUUUGUGCAUUUGUUUCUUGUCAUUUUUUAUCCAUGAUUUCAGUCACUUGUUCUCUUUCUUAUAGUUUAAGAUUGUUCCAUAAGUUGACAUUUACUUUUAAAAACCCAUGCUGGGAAAACUUUGAGCUUCUUGGUUUAAAAGUUGGUCUUUAUUUCUUAGAGUAUCCUAUUAGAUGGAUGGAGCUUUGUAACUUUUCAAGUUUUUUUCCCCGUAACUACAAUGUUUGGUAGCUAGUACAAAAAAGCUCAGUUCACAAUUGUUGUUCUGAUCUAGUGAACUGAGUUUGUGAAAUGAAAGAUCAGAUCCGAAGCAUCAGAUCAGAAGCAUGCUUGUGAACUGAUCUGCUUUGGAUCGGAUCUUUCAGUUCACAAACUCUGUUGCUGCUUCUGAUCCGUUCUUCAUUUCUGUUGCGAGAAGAUCAGAACACUCACAAAUGACUGCUUCUUGUGUUGAACUAUAGACUAUUACAUACUGAGCAUUUCUUGUACUAAUCUGCUGUACUGAUCAGUUCACCAGAUCAGAACAGCAGUUGUGAACUGAUCUGCUGUGAACUGAUGCCGCAGAUUUGUUGUGAACUGAUUCUGGGAUGGUGAACGAAAGUCGUAGCAUUGAUUGUCACUUAUUGAGGUCAGAUCUCUUUUCGGAGUCUCAGAGGAUUCAAUAAACAAUCCAAACCCGAACCCGGGGUAUUCUAGAUGCUCGCACAUAUCUUUUGGCUUUGAAGGAGAUACGACUCAAGGUAACAAGCUGGUUGACAUGGUUCAUAUUUCUUUUGUGCGAAAGCGUUAUCCAUCUUACACAAUCUGCAAUCUCGACAAGGCGAUCAUCCACUAGUGGAUGAUCGCCUUGUCGAGAUUGCUGUAUCAACAAAUCAAGAACUUCGUUUUCUUUCUAUGCAAGGUGUUUGCAUGACAUCUUCGCUAUUUGGUAAAUAUGAAGAUGGGGUCAUCGUGAAUAAGUUACAAGAGAUGUAUGAGGUAUAUGGAAUUUAUCUAUAUCUAUUUAGGUAAAAGGUUUAGAAUAUCUAUUUAGAUUCAUUCGUAAAGAGUUAAGAACGAAAACGACAAUUUUAGUCAAAAUAAUGACAUAUAACAAUCAAACGACCCUUAAAUGUGCAUAACUUGACCAAAUUAGGUAAUAAUGAGAAUUAUAAACAUAAACCUAAGUAUAUUAAACAUGUAAAAGGUUUAGAAUAUCUAUUUAAAUUCAUUAGUUAAGAGCUAGGAGCAAAAACGACAAUUUUAGUCAAAAUAUGACAUAUAACGAUUAAACGACCCUUACAUGUGUAUAACUUGACCAAACAAAGUAAGAAUGAGACUUAGAAACAUAAA